rnacentral:lncRNA from 1 species
GCCUAUGCGACUUAUGUUCGCUCGUGCGAUAUCGAGAAAUCUACGGGGUUGGGAAGGAUAGACUCAUUUCUAGAAUGGGAAUGUUUGAGCUACCACCGGUACGUAAGUGGCACAAGCUGGACUACACUUGUGUAGGUCCUAAAACAAGAUUGAACAAUGAUAACAAUCCAUAAAUGAUAAUCAUUACUAGAUAGGGUGUAGUAGUUGGAUUAGCUUGACAUGCUUAAUGCGUAGCUUUGGACAUUUAAGACAUGUAGUAUGCUUAGUAAUAUCACUCAUUGCAUUACAGUAUACUUACUUGCCGUGUGGGAUCAUACUAGUUAUGUUUUGGACAUACUUGAUCAUGGUAGAAUGAAUGUACAGCAUAUUGACAUUAUAUUGUUUAUGGCAUAGUAGUUUAGCAUUUAUACAUGCUUUCAUAUCUGUAGUUUAUUUCUAUUGCUUUU